GAUGAACGCUGGCGGCGUGCCUAAUACAUGCAAGUCGAGCGAACGGACGAGAAGCUUGCUUCUCUGAUGUUAGCGGCGGACGGGUGAGUAACACGUGGAUAACCUACCUAUAAGACUGGGAUAACUUCGGGAAACCGUAGCUAAUACCGGAUAAUAUUUUGAACCGCAUGGUUCAAAAGUGAAAGACGGUCUUGCUGUCACUUAUAGAUGGAUCCGCGCUGCAUUAGCUAGUUGGUAAGGUAACGGCUUACCAAGGCAACGAUGCGUAGCCGACCUGAGAGGGUGAUCGGCCACACUGGAACUGAGACACGGUCCAGACUCCUACGGGAGGCAGCAGUAGGGAAUCUUCCGCAAUGGGCGAAAGCCUGACGGAGCAACGCCGCGUGAGUGAUGAAGGUCUUCGGAUCGUAAAACUCUGUUAUUAGGGAAGAACAUAUGUGUGAGUAACUGUGCACAUCUUGACGGUACCUAAUCAGAAAGCCACGGCUAACUACGUG
rnacentral:rRNA from 1 species